rnacentral:rRNA from 1 species
AAUGAACGCUGGCGGCGCGCCUAAUACAUGCAAGUCGAGCGAGAAGACGUAGCAAUACGUUUGUAAAGCGGCGAACGGGUGAGGAAUACAGUGGGUAACCUACCCUCGAGUGGGGGAAUAACUAGGACCGAAAGGUUAGCUAAUACCCGCGUACGCUUCUUGGACUUCGGUUCAGGGAGGAAAGCGAUACCGUGGGUAUCGCGCUCUUGGAUGGGCUCAUGUCCUAUC